rnacentral:tRNA from 2 species
GGGGAUAUAGCUCAGUGGUAGAGCGGUGCCUUUGCAAGGCACAUGUCAGCGGUUCGACUCCGCUUAUCUCCA